GACGAACGCUGGCGGCGUGCUUAACACAUGCAAGUCGAACGGUAAGGCCCUUCGGGGUACACGAGUGGCGAACGGGUGAGUAACACGUGGGUGAUCUGCCCUGCACUUUGGGAUAAGCCUGGGAAACUGGGUCUAAUACCGGAUAGGACCACUGCCUGCAUGGGUGGUGGUGGAAAGCUUUUGCGGUGUGGGAUGGGCCCGCGGCCUAACAGCUUGUUGGUGGGGUGAUGGCCUACCAAGGCGACGACGGGUAGCCGGCCUGAGAGGGUGACCGGCCACACUGGGACUGAGAUACGGCCCAGACUCCUACGGGAGGCAGCAGUGGGGAAUAUUGCACAAUGGGCGCAAGCCUGAUGCAGCGACGCCGCGUGAGGGAUGACGGCCUUCGGGUUGUAAACCUCUUUCAGCACCGACGAAGCGCAAGUGACGGUAGGUGCAGAAGAAGGACCGGCCAACUACGUGCCAGCCGCCGCAGUAA
rnacentral:rRNA from 1 species